rnacentral:rRNA from 1 species
UACGUAGGGGGCGAGCGUUUUCCGGAAUGAUUGGGCGUAAAGGGCGUGUAGGCGGCAGGUUAAGUCUGAUGUGAAAGUCCACGGCUCAACCGUGGGAGGUCAUUGGAAACUGGCCUGCUUGAGUGCAGGAGAGGUGCGUGGAAUUCCUGGUGUAGCGGUGAAAUGCGUAGAUAUCAGGAGGAACACCGAUGGCGAAGGCAGCGCACUGGCCUGUAACUGACGCUGAGGCGCGAAAGCGUGGGGAGCAAACAGG